rnacentral:rRNA from 1 species
ACGGUAGCAGGUCUUCGGAUGCUGACGAGUGGCGGACGGGUGAGUAACGCGUAGGAAUCUGCCUAUUAGUGGGGGACAACGUGUGGAAACGCACGCUAAUACCGCAUACGCCCUACGGGGGAAAGGAGGGGAUCUUCGGACCUUUCGCUAAUAGAUGAGCCUGCGUAGGAUUAGCUAGUUGGUAGGGUAAAGGCCUACCAAGGCGACGAUCCUUAGCUGUUCUGAGAGGAAGAUCAGCCACACUGGGACUGAGACACGGCCCAGACUCCUACGGGAGGCAGCAGUGGGGAAUAUUGGACAAUGGGCGAAAGCCUGAUCCAGCAAUACCGCGUGUGUGAAGAAGGCCUUAGGGUUGUAAAGCACUUUCAAUUGGGAGGAAAAAACAAGGGUCAAUACCCCUUGUCUUGACAUUACCUUUAGAAGAAGCACCGGCUAACUCCGUGCCAGCAGCCGCGGUAAUACGGAGGGUGCGAGCGUUAAUCGGAAUUACUGGGCGUAAAGAGUGCGUAGGCGGCUCGUUAAGUCAGAUGUGAAAGCCCUGGGCUCAACCUGGGAACUGCAUUUGAAACUGGCGAGCUAGAGUUGAGUAGAGGUAAGUGGAAUUUCAGGUGUAGCGGUGAAAUGCGUAGAUAUCUGAAGGAACACCAGUGGCGAAGGCGACUUACUGGACUCAAACUGACGCUGAGGUACGAAAGCGUGGGUAGCAAACAGGAUUAGAUACCCUGGUAGUCCACGCCGUAAACGAUGUCAACUAGCCGUUGGUCCUAUAUACAGGAUUAGUGGCGCAGCUAACGCAUUAAGUUGACCGCCUGGGGAGUACGG